rnacentral:rRNA from 1 species
UACGUAGGGGGCGAGCGUUGUCCGGAGUUACUGGGCGUAAAGCGCGUGUAGGCGGCUUUGCAAGUCGGGUGUGAAAGCCCUCAGCUCAACUGAGGAAGUGCGCCCGAAACUGCAGAGCUUGAGUGCCGGAGAGGGUGGCGGAAUUCCCCAAGUAGAGGUGAAAUUCGUAGAUAUGGGGAGGAACACCGGUGGCGAAGGCGGCCACCUGGACGGUAACUGACGCUGAGACGCGAAAGCGUGGGGAGCAAACAGG